GCCUAUUUUUGGCACACAGAGGCCGCCCGCCAAGUAUGGUGCCAUUCCGAGUCCCGCGGACGAACUUCGCCCACGCCCCCCACCAAGGCUAUAGCCCACCCGUUUCUUGGCCAUUUUUCCGCUGGGGGGUCUUGGGACCCCGACCUUCGGGGGCUGAUUUUUGGGCGCGGCUGUGCCCGUGGCCUAUUUUUGGCACACCGAGGCCGCCCGCCAAGUAUGGUGCCAUUCCGAGUCCCGCGGACGAACUUCGCCCACGCCCCCCACCAAGGCUAUAGCCCACGCGUUUUUUGGCCAUUUUUCCGCUGGGGGGUCUUGGGACCCCGACCUUCGGGGGCUGAUUUUUGGGCGCGGCUGUGCCCGUGGCCUAUUUUUGGCACACAGAGGCCGCCCGCCAAGUAUGGUGCCAUUCCGAGUCCCGCGGACGAACUUCGCCCACGCCCCCCACCAAGGCUAUAGCGCACCCGUUUUUUGGCCAUUUUUCCGCCGGGGGGUCUUGGGACCCCGACCUUCGGGGGCUGAUUUUUGGGCGCGGCUGUGCCCGUGGCCUAUUUUUAGCACACGGAGGCCGCCCGCCAAGUAUGGUGCCAUUCCGAGUCCCGCGGACGAACUUCGCCCACGCCCCCCACCAAGGCUAUAGCCCACGCGUUUUUUGACCAUUUUUCCGCUGGGGGGUCUUGGGACCCCGACCUUCGGGGGCUGAUUUUUGGGCGCGGCUGUGCCCGUGGCCUAUUUUUGGCACACCGAGGCCGCCCGCCAAGUAUGGUGCCAUUCCGAGUCCCGCGGACGAACUUCGCCCACGCCCCCCACCAAGGCUAUAGCCCACGCGUUUUUUGACCAUUUUUCCGCUGGGGGGUCUUGGGACCCCGACGUUCGGGGGCUGAUUUUUGGGCGCGGCUGUGCCCGUGGCCUAUUUUUGGCACACGGAGGCCGCCCGCCAAGUAUGGUGCCAUUCCGAGUCCCACGGACGAACUUCGCCCACGCCCCCCACCAAGGCUAUAGCCCACGCGUUUUUUGGCCAUUUUUCCGCUGGGGGGUCUUGGGACCCCGACCUUCGGGGGCUGAUUUUUGGGCGCGGCUGUGCCCGUGGCCUAUUUUUGGCACACGGAGGCCGCCCGCCAAGUAUGGUGCCAUUCUGAGUCCCGCGGACGAACUUCGCCCACGCCCCCCACCAAGGCUAUAGCCCACCCGUUUUUUGGCCAUUUUUCCGCUGGGGGGUCUUUGGACCCCGACCUUCGGGGGCUGAUUUUUGGGCGCGGCUGUGCCCGUGGCCUAUUUUUGGCACACAGAGGCCGCCCGCCUAGUAUGGUGCCAUUCCGAGUCCCGCGGACGAACUUCGCCCACGCCCCCCACCAAGGCUAUAGCCCACGCGUUUUUUGGCCUUUUUUCCGCUGGGGGGUCUUGGGACCCCGACCUUCGGGGGCUGAUUUUUGGGCGCGGCUGUGCCCGUGGCCUAUUUUUGGCACACAGAGGCCGCCCGCCAAGUAUGGUGCCAUUCCGAGUCCCGCGGACGAACUUCGCCCACGCCCCCCACCAAGGCUAUAGCCCACGCGUUUUUUGGCCAUUUUUCCGCUGGGGGGUUUUGGGACCCCGACCUUCGGGGGCUGAUUUUUGGGCGUGGCUGUGCCCGUGGCCUAUUUUUGGCACACGGAGGCCGCCCGCCAAGUAUGGUGCCAUUCCGAGUCCCGCGGACGAACUUCGCCCACGCCCCCCACCAAGGCUAUAGCCCACCCGUUUUUUGGCCAUUUUU
rnacentral:lncRNA from 1 species